UACGUGGGGACCAAGCGUUGUUCGGAUUUACUGGGCGUAAAGGGCGCGUAGGCGGCGCGGUAAGUCACUUGUGAAAUCUCUGAGCUUAACUCAGAACGGCCAAGUGAUACUGCAGUGCUAGAGUGUGGAAGGGGCAAUCGGAAUUCUUGGUGUAGCGGUGAAAUGCGUAGAUAUCAGGAGGAACACCGGUGGCGAAGGCGGCUCUCUGGACCACAACUGACGCUGAGGCGCGAAAGCUAGGGGAGCAAACAGG
rnacentral:rRNA from 1 species